AAUAUUUUCAACAACAAAACAAGAGAAGGAUAACAAGAAAGAAAAAGAGUCCUUACAAAGUGUCGCGGCGGUGGUGGUGAAGGACGCGAAGAAGCUGGCCUCCAGGGUUUGGAUGAGAUCAAAAGAGUAUGGAAUUGGAAGUGCUUUCUUUUUUGUGCUGCUCUGUUGUCUAUCCCAUUUUGGUGUUUGCUCUGAAAAAGUGAAUUUUCUUGCAACUUUGAGGCUUCUGUUAACAACACUCAACCUUGCAAGAGUAGCUUGUUUCUCCAUGUGAAAACUUCACUGUUGGACAUGGUUGUUGGUGAU